AUGGUGGCUGAGAAGCGACUCAUCCCAGAUGGCUGUGGGGUCAUGUACAUCCCCAAUUGUGGUCAGAGACAGACUGCGUCAAAGCUUGUUCUUAGGACCUGCUCUCCCUACCAUCCUCUGACAUCCCUUGGCUUUGCCAGCUUUCAGAGUGUCACCCUAUGUGAAUCAUUCUCACACCACUGCCAGGUAGCAUCUGUGACCUGGACUUUGCAGGCUGUUAGUGUUCUGGGACCUGUGUCUACCAGUGACUGGUACCACCAUCUGCCCGGCCCUGAAGUUGCUGUGGCCCUUCUCUCCCUCACACCUAUAGUCACCAAGUCCCCCGACUCUGCCUACUCAGUGCCUCCAUCAUGGAUAAGUUCUCUGCACACUGGAAUACUCAGCUCCAACAUCCUGUCUCCCCAGCCUGCUGCCCAGGACCUCCCUGCUGCUGUCAUAGAGACCCAAAAGCAACCGCCUCAUCAUGGAACACAAGAGCAGCCUACUGGAUACACAGACACAGCUGAAGAUUACACUGAGAAGCAAUUCUCUGAAAGGAUAGGCGUGUCCUCCGACACUUCUCUGGCGCUGUCCAAAACGGGAAAGGAAAAGACUCAUAUCAACAUUGUCGUCAUUGGACAUGUAGAUUUGGGCAAGUCCACCACUUGCCAGAAUGAUCCACUGGGGCCAUGUGAUCUACAAAUGUGGUGGCAUCAACAAAAGAACCAUUGAAAAAAUUUGAGAAGGAGGCUGCUGAGAUGGGAAAGGGCUCCUUCAAGUAUGCCUGGGUCUUGGAUAAGUUGAAAGCUGAGCUUGAACAUGGUAUCACCAUUGAUAUCUCCUUGUGGAAAUUCGAGACCAGCAAGUACUACAUGACUAUCAUUGAUGCCCCAGGACAUAGACACUUCCCCAAAAGCAUGAUUAUGGUGACAUCUCAGGCUGACUGUGCUGUUUUGAUUGUUGCCCAUGGUGUUGGUGAAUUUGAAGCUGGUAUCUCCAAGAAUGGGCAGACCUGAGAGCAUGCCCUUCUGGCUUACAUACUAGUGAAACAACUAAUUGUUGGUGUUAACAAAAUGGAUUCCAUUGAGCCACCCAACACUUAGAAUAGAUAUGAGGAAAUACGAAGUCAGCACUUACAUUAAGAAAAUUGGCUACAACCCCAACACAGUAGCAUUUGUGCCAAUUUCUGGUUGGAAUCAUGACAGCAUGCUGGAGCCAAGUGUUAACAUGCCUUGAUUCAAGGGAUGGAAAGCCACUUGAAAGGAUGGCAAUGCCAGGGGAACCCGCUGCCUGAGGCUCUGGACUGCAUCCUACCACCAACUGAUCCAACUGACAAGCACUUGUGCCUGCCUCUCCAGGAGGUCUACAAAAUUGGUGGUAUUGGUACUGUUCCUGUUGGCUGAGUAGAGACUGGUGUUCUCAAACCUGGUAUGGUGGUCACCUUUGCUCCAGUCAACAUUACAACUUAAGUAAACUCUGUCGAAAUGCACCAUGAAGCUUUGAGUGAAGUUCCUUCCAGGGACAAUGUGGGAUUCAAUGUCAAGAAUGCGUCUGUCAAGGAUGUUUGUCAUGGCGUCAUUGCUGGUGACAGCAAGAACAACCCACUGAUGGAAGCAGCUGGCUUCACUGCUCAGGUGAUUAUCCCGAGCCAUCAGGCCAAAUCAGUGCUGGCUAUGCCCCUGUGCUGGAUUGCCACAUGGCUCACAUUGCAUGCAAGUGUGCUGAACUAAAGGGAAAGGUUGAUCACCAUUCUGGUAAGAAGCUGGAAGAUGGCCCGAGAUUCUUGAAGUCUGGUGAUGCUUCCAUCAUUGAUAUGGUUCCUGGCAAGCCCAUGUGUGUUGAGAGCUUCUCAGAAUAUCCACCUCUGGGUCACUUUGCUAUUAGUGAUAUGAGACGGACAGUUGCCGUGGGUGUCAUCAAAGCAGUGAACAAGAAGGCUGCUGGAGCUGGCAAGGUCCCAGGUCUGCCUAGAAAGCUCAGCAGGCUAAAUGAAUAUUAUCCCUAAGACCUGCCACCCCAGUCUUAGUCAGUGGUGGAAGAACGGUCUCAGAACUGUUUGUUUCAAUUGGCCAUUUAAGUUUAGUAAUAAAAGGCUGGGUAAUGACAACAAUGUAUUGUAAAACCUUCAGGAGGAAAGGAAUGUUUUGUGGACCACUUUGGUUUUCUUUUUUGCAUGUGGCAGUUUUAAGUUAUUAGUUUUUAAAAUCAGUACUUUUUAAUGAAAGCAACUUGACCUAAAAUUUGUCACAGAAUUUUGAGACCCAUUAAAAAAGUUUAA